rnacentral:rRNA from 1 species
GAUGAACGCUAGCGGCAGGCUUAAUACAUGCAAGUCGAGGGGCAGCAGGUUUGUAGCAAUACAGAUGCUGGCGACCGGCAAACGGGUGCGGAACACGUACAGAACCUUCCUUUAAGUGGGGGAUAGCCCAGGGAAACUUGGAUUAAUACCCCGUAAUAUAUAGGAGUGGCAUCACUUUUAUAUUAUAGCUCCGGCGCUUAAAGAUUGCUGUGCGGCUGAUUAGGUAGUUGGCGGGGUAACGGCCCACCAAGCCUGCGAUCAGUAACUGGUGUGAGAGCACGACCAGUCACACGGGCACUGAGACACGGGCCCGACUCCUACGGGAGGCAGCAGUAAGGAAUAUUGGGCAAUGGACGCAAGUCUGACCCAGCCAUGCCGCGUGAAGGAUGAAGGUCCUCUGGAUUGUAAACUUCUUUUAUCUGGGACGAAAAAAGGUCUUUCUAGAUCGUCUGACGGUACCAGAGGAAUAAGCACCGGCUAACUCCGUGCCAGCCGCCGCAGUAACAC